GAGUAACACUUUGAGUAACCUCGCCCUUAACUCUGGGAUAAGCCUGGGAAACUGGGUCUAAUACCGGAUAGGAGCGUCCACCGCAUGGUGGGUGUUGGAAAGAUUUAUCGGUUUUGGAUGGACUCGCGGCCUAUCAGCUUGUUGGUGAGGUAAUGGCUCACCAAGGCGACGACGGGUAGCCGGCCUGAGAGGGUGACCGGCCACACUGGGACUGAGACACGGCCCAGACUCCUACGGGAGGCAGCAGUGGGGAAUAUUGCACAAUGGGCGCAAGCCUGAUGCAGCGACGCCGCGUGAGGGAUGACGGCCUUCGGGUUGUAAACCUCUUUCAAUAGGGAAGAAGCGAAAGUGACGGUACCUGCAGAAGAAGCACCGGCUAACUACGUGCCAGCAGCCGCGGUAAUACGUAGGGUGCGAGCGUUAUCCGGAAUUAUUGGGCGUAAAGAGCUCGUAGGCGGUUUGUCACGUCUGUCAUGAAAGUCCGGGGCUUAACCCCGGAUCUGCGGUGGGUACCGGCAGACUAGAGUGCAGUACGGGAGACUGGAAUUCCUGGUGUAGCGGGUGGAAUGCGCAGAUAUCACGAGGAACACCGAUGGCGAAGGCAGGUCUCUGGGCUGUAACUGACGCUGAGGAGCUAAAGCAUGGGGAGCGAACAGGAUUANAUACCCCUGGUAGUCCAUGCCAUAAACGGUGGGCACUAGCGUGUGGGGACCAUUCCACGGUUUCCCGCGCCGCAUCUAACGCAUUAAGUGCCCCGCCCUGGGGAGUACCGCCGCAAGGCUAAAACUCAAGGAGUGGACGGGGGGCACCGCACAAGCGGCGGAGCAUGCGGAUUGAUUUCGAAUGCAACGCNUAGACCCUUACCAACGGCUUGGACAUGUUCCUCGAACCCCGUAAGAAUACGCAUGCUCGCCCCUUUU
rnacentral:rRNA from 1 species